UUUAAAUCCAAUAAUUAGUGGUAAAAUAUAAAAUAUUUUAACAAAGAUGUCAUCACGCAAAGGCUAUGGGAAGAUUUUAUUGUCAUGACUUAGUGAUAAGCCCUGAACAUUAUCAACUACUUCAAUGUUGAUCACACAAUAUAGAAACAACGACUGUUUAACAUUUACUAUUUUUUUCAUACGGCGCAGUCGGGUAUUGAAGCUACGACCACCUACGGCGUAGAAUCCUAGUUUGAAAAUACAUCCAAUUUAGAAUAGACUUUUUUAUUGUUAUUAUUAACUUACUU